GACGAACGCUGGCGGCGUGCCUAAUACAUGCAAGUAGAACGCAGUUGCGAACGGGUGAGUAACGCGUAGGUAACUGCCUGGUAGCGGGGGAUAAAUAUUGGAAACGAUAGCUAAUAACGCAUACUACCAGAUGGACCUGCGUUGUAUUAGCUAGGUGGUGGGGUAACGGCUCACCAAGGCAACUAUACAUAGCCGACCUGUAGGUGUGUGCGGGCAAACUGGGACUGAGAAACGGCCCCGACUCCUACGGGAGGCAGCAGUAGGGGAUCUUCGGCAAUGGGGGGAACCCUGACCGAGCAACGCCGCGUGAGUGAAGAAGGUUUUCGGAUCGUAAAGCUCUGUUGUUAAGGAAGCGUUACUUAACCAGAAAGGGACGGCUAACUACGUGCCAGCAGCCGCGGUAAUAC
rnacentral:rRNA from 1 species